AAUAACUUAAUCUCAUGUAUAUAAUUCAUUCAAUAGUGACAAGAUCCAUACAUCAAAAUUUAAUUCAAGUACUUGAAGUUCCAAACGAAAGAAACUAAUGUAGUUCAAAACAUAAAUAUUAGUAGAGUGGUUAAACAUAACAACACGUCAAAAUAAGUUCAAAAAAUAUCUAAAUAUCCCUAGUAUGUGAUGUUGCUUCAUAAUCCUUAAUUAGUGUGCACUAGACUUAGAAACGCCUACCAUCACUUGACUCUUCUUAUUCGGUUACCU
rnacentral:lncRNA from 1 species